GAUGAACGCUGGCGGCGUGCCUAAUACAUGCAAGUCGAGCGAACAGACGAGGAGCUUGCUCCUCUGACGUUAGCGGCGGACGGGUGAGUAACACUUGGAUAACCUACCUAUAAGACUGGGAUAACUUCGGGAAACCGGAGCUAAUACCCGAUAAUAUAUUGAACCGCAUGGUUCAAUAGUUAAAGACGGUUUUGCUGUCACUUAUAGAUUGAUCCGCGCCGCAUUAGCUAGUUGGUAAGGUAACGGCUUACCAAGGCAACGAUGCGUAGCCGACCUGAGAGGGUGAUCGGCCACACUGGAACUGAGACACGGUCCAGACUCCUACGGGAGGCAGCAGUAGGGAAUCUUCCGCAAUGGGCGAAAGCUUGACGGAGCAACGCCGCGUGAGUGAUGAAGGUCUUCGGAUCGUAAAACUCUGUUAUUAGGGAAGAACAAAUGUGUAAGUAACUAUGCACGUCUUGACGGUACCUAAUCAGAAAGCCACGGCUAACUACGUG
rnacentral:rRNA from 1 species